rnacentral:rRNA from 1 species
CUAAACAAACUUGGAAAUAGCUGGUUCUCUCCGAAAACUAUUUAGGUAGUGCCUCGUGUCUCACCUUCGGGGGUAGAGCACUGUCAUGGUUGGGGGGUCUAUUGCAGAUUACCCCGCCAUAGCAAACUCCGAAUACCGAAGAGUGCAAUCACGGGAGACAGACAUCGGGUGCUAACGUCCGGUGUCAAGAGGGAAACAACCCAGACCGCCAGCUAAGGUCCCCAAAUAUAGCUAAGUGGGAAACGAAGUGGGAAGGCUAAAACAGUCAGGAGGUUGGCUUAGAAGCAGCCACCCUUUAAAGAAAGCGUAAUAGCUCACUGAUCGAGUCGUCCUGCGCGGAAGAUGUAACGGGGCUAAGCUAUAUACCGAAGCUGCGGAUGCGAGCUUUGCUCGCAUGGUAGGAGAGCGUUCCGUAAGCCUGCGAAGGUGCCUUGUAAAGGGUGCUGGAGGUAUCGGAAGUGCGAAUGCUGACA